UACAGAGGGUGCAAGCGUUGUUCGGAAUUAUUGGGCGUAAAGCGCGUGUAGGCGGCUUGGCAAGUCGGGUGUGAAAGCCCUCAGCUCAACUGAGGAAGUGCGCCCGAAACUGCUAUGCUUGAGUGCCGGAGAGGGUGGCGGAAUUCCCCAAGUAGAGGUGAAAUUCGUAGAUAUGGGGAGGAACACCGGUGGCGAAGGCGGCCACCUGGACGGUGACUGACGCUGAGACGCGAAAGCGUGGGGAGCAAACAGG
rnacentral:rRNA from 1 species